GGGCGGGUGGUGAAAUUGGUAGACACGCUAGCCUUAGGAGCUAGUGCCCACAAAGCUUGGAGGUUCGAGUCCUCUCCCGCCCACCA
rnacentral:tRNA from 1 species